CAGCCGCCGCGGUAAUUCGUAGGUGGCAAGCGUUGUCCGGAAUUAUUGGGCGUAAAGCGCGCGCAGGCGGUCCUUUAAGUCUGAUGUGAAAGCCCCCGGCUCAACCGGGGAGGGUCAUUGGAAACUGGGGGACUUGAGUGCAGGAGAGGGAAGUGGAAUUCCACGUGUAGCGGUGAAAUGCGUAGAGAUGUGGAGGAACACCAGUGGCGAAGGCGGCUUCCUGGCCUGUAACUGACGCUGAGGCGCGAAAGCGUGGGGAGCAAACAGGAUUAGAUACCCUGGUAGUCCACGCCGUAAACGAUGAGUGCUAAGUGUUAGGGGGUUUCCGCCCCUUAGUGCUGCAGCUAACGCAUUAAGCACUCCGCCUGGGGAGUACGGCCGCAAGGCUGAAACUUAAAGGAAUUGGCGGG
rnacentral:rRNA from 1 species